rnacentral:rRNA from 1 species
AUUGAACGCUGGCGGCAUGCCUUACACAUGCAAGUCGAACGGCAGGACGGGAGCAAUCCUGGUGGCGAGUGGCGAACGGGUGAGUAAUCUAUCGGAACGGGCCCAGUUGUGGGGGAUAACGCAGCGAAAGCUGUGCUAAUACCGCAUACGAUCUAAGGAUGAAAGCGGGGGAUCGCAAGACCUCGCGCGGUUGGAGCGGCCGAUAUCAGAUUAGCUAGUUGGUGGGGUAAAGGCCCACCAAGGCGACGAUCUGUAGCUGGUCUGAGAGGACGACCAGCCACACUGGAACUGAGACACGGUCCAGACUCCUACGGGAGGCAGCAGUGGGGAAUUUUGGACAAUGGGCGCAAGCCUGAUCCAGCAAUGCCGCGUGCAGGAUGAAGGCCUUCGGGUUGUAAACUGCUUUUGUACGGAACGAAACGGCCCUUUCUAAUACAGGGGGCUAAUGACGGUACCGUAAGAAUAAGCACCGGCUAACUACGUGCCAGCCGCCGCCGUAAUAC